rnacentral:rRNA from 1 species
AACGAACGCUGGCGGCGUGCUUAACACAUGCAAGUCGAACGAAGAGCGAUGGAAGCUUGCCUCUAUCAAUCUUAGUGGCGAACGGGUGAGUAACGCGUAAUCAACCUGCCCUUCUGAGGGGGACAACAGUUGGAAACGACUGCUAAUACCGCAUACGAUCUAACCUCGGCAUCGAGGAGAGAUGAAAGGCUGCCUCUACAUGUAAGCUAUCACUGAAGGAGGGUAUUGCGGCUGAUUAGCUAGGUGGAGGGGUAACGGCCCACCAAGGCGAUGAUCAGUAGCCGGUCUGAGGGGAUGAACGGCCACAUUGGGACUGGGACACGGCCCAGGCUCCUACGGGAGGCAGCAGUGGGGAAUCUUCCGCAAUGGACGAAAGUCUGACUGAGCAACGCCGCGUGAGUGAUGACGGCCUUCGGGUUGGAAAACUCUGUUAAUCGGGACGAAAGGCCUUCUUGCGAAUAGUUAGAAGGAUUGACGGUACCGGAAGAGAAAGCCACGGCUAACUACGUG